rnacentral:lncRNA from 1 species
CAGGCUUCCUUCCUGGUGGAGGAUCCUUGCACAGCAUUAUGACACCCCAUGGACCUGAUGCUGAAUGUUUUGAGAAGAACUCAACAAUGGAUCUGAAGCCAAUGAAAAUUGCUGAGGGAACAAUGUCAUUUAUGUUUGAAAGUUCCCUUAGUAUGGCACUAACUAAAUGGGGUAAUGACACUUGUCAUAAAGUUGACAAUGAAUACUUCAAGUGUUGGCAGCCUAUCAAGAAGAAUUUCAAACCCGUGUUGUAAGAAGGCAACCAUUGAUAUGGCACAAAGCAUUCUGAAGCAGUCAAUAUAAAUUGGUUUGAAGACCACAAUUUUCCUGGAAACUUCCAUGGCAGCUAUCCUGAUAUUUUAUCAUUUUACUUUAGCAAAUGUGUGAGAUAUUUGUGGUAUUUUGUUAUUUCUUAAUAGUAAUAUCUCAUAAGAUUCUAUUCUAUGAUGUAUUUUGUCUCUCUGAUAAAACUCUUCCAAGAUAGACUUUCCAACUUCUUCCUCCCAGAAUUAAUAAAAUUAAAGCACCAGUCAAGUGCUAGGGCUGAUUUCAUCAACUGUACCCCAUUUCCCUCUAAAUAUAUGGUUAACAAUGUUAUUCAGCCAACAUUAUUAUCAAAUUUAUUUAAAGAUCCUUAACAUUUUUUUUCUGGAAUCUUCCAUAACAGCUGUUC